rnacentral:rRNA from 1 species
AAAAAGAUCUCGUUGGUGACCAGCGGAGGGACAUUACCGAGUUUACAACUCCCAAACCCAAUGUGAACGUUACCAAACUGUUGCCUCGGCGGGGUCACGCCCCGGGUGCGUCGCAGCCCCGGAACCAGGCGCCCGCCGGAGGAACCAACCAAACUCUUUCUGUAGUCCCCUCGCGGACGUAUUUCUUACAGCUCUGAGCAAAAAUUCAAAAUGAAUCAAAACUUUCAACAACGGAUCUCUUGGUUCUGGCAUCGAUGAAGAACGCAGCGAAAUGCGAUAAGUAAUGUGAAUUGCAGAAUUCAGUGAAUCAUCGAAUCUUUGAACGCACAUUGCGCCCGCCAGUAUUCUGGCGGGCAUGCCUGUCCGAGCGUCAUUUCAACCCUCGAACCCCUCCGGGGGAUCGGCGUUGGGGAUCGGGACCCCUCACACGGGUGCCGGCCCCGAAAUACAGUGGCGGUCUCGCCGCAGCCUCUCCUGCGCAGUAGUUUGCACAACUCGCACCGGGAGCGCGGCGCGUCCACGUCCGUAAAACACCCAACUUUCUGAAAUGUUGACCUCGGAUCAGGUAGGAAUACCCGCUGAACUUAAGCAUAUCAAUAAGCGGAGGA